rnacentral:rRNA from 1 species
UGGGGAACAUUGGACAAUGGGCGAAAGCCUGAUCCAGCGACGCCGCGUGUCGGAAGGAGUCCUUCGGGAUGUAAACGACUUUUGGUGGAGACGAAUAGGCAGCUCAGGGAAUGGGGCUGUGAUGACGGUAUCCAUGGAAUAAGCCCCGGCUAACUACGUGCCAGCAGCCGCGGUAAGACGUAGGGGGCAAGCGUUACCCGGAAUUACUGGGCGUAAAGGGAGCGUAGGCGGGAGGUCAAGUCCGGUGUGAAAGACCCUGGCUCAACCAGGGAUGAGGGCUGGAAACUGACAAUCUUGAGUACAGCAGAGGAAGAGGGAAUUACCGGUGUAGGGGUGAAAUCCGUAGAGACCGGUAAGAAGGCCAGUGGCGAAGGCGCUUUUCUGGGCUGUUACUGACGCUGAGGCUCGAAAGCCAGGGGAGCAAACC